AUCACAUUGCCAGGGAUUUCC
rnacentral:ncRNA from 31 species